GAUGAAGAACGUAGCGAAUUGCGAUAAGUAAUGUGAAUUGCAGAUUUUCAGUGAAUCAUCGAAUCUUUGAACGCACAUUGCGCCCCUCGGUAUUCCUUGGGGCAUGCCUGUUCGAGCGUCAUUUACACCCUCAAGCUCUGCUUGGUGUUGGGCGUCUGUCCCGCCUCCGUGCGCGGACUCGCCUCAAAGCGAUUGGCGGCUGGUACCACGGCCUGGAGUGCAGCAGAAUUGCGCUCUUUCCGGGGUCUGGCUCCCAGAAGCGAACCUUUUUACUCGUUUGACCUCGAAUCAGGUAGGGAUACCCGCUGAACUUAAGCAUAUCAAUAAGCGGAGGA
rnacentral:misc_RNA from 1 species